AUGGGGUUUGCUUGGACCCCAGAGGCGGACGCAGCAUUCCGGGAGCUCAAGAGGCGGUUCGCGACUGCCCCCAUCCUGCAACUGCCAGACCCUAACCGCCAGUUCGUGGUCGAGGUGGACGCCUCCAACACGGGGGUGGGAGCGGUGCUGUCCCAGAGGGCUCAGGAGGACCAGAAGCUGCACCCAUGCGCGUUCUUCUCUCUGGUCGUAAGGAAUUACGACGUGGGAAAUCGGGAGCUGCUUGCCAUCAAGUUGGCACUGGAGGAAUGGCGGCACUGGCUGGAGGGGGCUAUGCUGCCUUUCAUCGUGUGGACAGACCACCGCAACCUGGAAUACAUUCGUUCAGCCAAGAGGCUGAACUCCCGGCAGGUUCGGUGGUCACUGUUUUUCACUCGGUUUGAUUUUACCCUUUCCUACCGCCCAGGGUCCCGCAACGGCAAGGCAGACGUCCUCUCUCGACAGUUCGCGGGGAAGGAGGACGAAGGCCCUGGGAGGACCCCGGAGAACAUUCUCCCCUCCCCGUGUAUCGUGGCAGCAGUAACCUGGGGAAUCGAGGAGAGAGUCCGGAGGGUGGCUGCCAAUCAACCUGGACCUAGCACCUGCCCCAACGACCGGCUCUUCGUUCCUGACUCUCUCAGGGCAGAGGUCCUGGAGUGGGCUCACGCGUCUCGGUUGGCCUGCCACCCUGGAGCACGUCGGAUGGCGGGUCUGCUGAAGCAGAGGUUUUGGUGGCCCUCCCUGGGGGAGGAUGUCCAGGAGUUUGUCAACGCCUGCCCCGUCUGCAACCAGCAGAAACAACCACGCCGAACACCUGCCGGGCUACUGCAACCUCUGCCGGUGCUGCAUCGACCCUGGACACACAUCGCCCUGGACUUCGUCACCGGGCUGCCCCAGUCUGCGGGGAACACUGUUAUUCUAAACAUCAUCGACAGAUUCAGUAAAAUGGCUCACUUCGUGCCCCUGCCUAAGCUGCCGUCGGCAAAGGAGACGGCCCAACUAGUGAUCCAGCACGUCUUCGGCUUCACGGCCUACCGGAGAGUGUGGUGUCAGACAGGGGUCCUGCCACAUGGUUGA
rnacentral:lncRNA from 1 species